UGCACUUGAUGGCUUUGCAUUCCCUACAUGA
rnacentral:piRNA from 1 species